UAGGGAAUCUUCGGCAAUGGACGAAAGUCUGACCGAGCAACGCCGCGUGAGUGAAGAAGGUUUUCGGAUCGUAAAACUCUGUUGUUAGAGAAGAACAAGGACGUUAGUAACUGAACGUCCCCUGACGGUAUCUAACCAGAAAGCCACGGCUAACUACGUGCCAGCAGCCGCGGUAAUACGUAGGUGGCAAGCGUUGUCCGGAUUUAUUGGGCGUAAAGCGAGCGCAGGCGGUUUCGUAAGUCUGAUGUGAAAGCCCCCGGCUCAACCGGGGAGGGUCAUUGGAAACUGGGAGACUUGAGUGCAGAAGAGGAGAGUGGAAUUCCAUGUGUAGCGGUGAAAUGCGUAGAUAUAUGGAGGAACACCAGUGGCGAAGGCGGCUCUCUGGUCUGUAACUGACGCUGAGGCUCGAAAGCGUGGGGAGCAAACAGG
rnacentral:rRNA from 1 species